CUCUCUCUCUCUCUCCAAUUUCUGGACGCUAUCUAUCUCCCUUAUCUUCUAUAUGUUUUUGAAUGGAUUUCUAAAAUGGGUAUAUUAAUAGUAGGAGUUUGAUUUGUAGUUUUUUUUGGAUAAUUCCCAGAUUCUGCUACCGCAGCCGCCUCUCCAUUGCCGGAAACUGCCGUACGUGCCUUGUCGAGGUCGAGAAGUCGCCCAAGCCCGUUGCUUCUUGCACCAUGCCCACUCUUCCAGUUGGUGUCUUCAGAAAGAAAGGUACCAAAUUAUAUGAAGCAAGCUUGAAGGAUGAAAAGCGUUUAGAUCAAUGGUUUCAUUGUUAAAUUAAGCAAGUGUUUUAGUAAAUAAAUUUAAUUUUCCCAUCAUGUUUACACCUUCAAAAUAUUCUGUAAAUGACAUUUGAUGUAGAAUUUUUUGUACAGAGGACAUCUUUUUUGUAUGAUUUUGUGUUUGUAUGGGAUUAUUAUUUUGGGUUGGAUAA